rnacentral:rRNA from 1 species
GGAUUGACACAUCGGUCGUGCCUUAAGGGGUAUGAACUGGUGUAGUCAAUUUCUCACCUUCUGGAGAACCGCGAUGCCCUUAAUUGGGUGUCACGGGGAACCAGGACCUUUACUUUGAAAAAAUUAGAGUGUUCAAAACAGGCUUAUGCCUGAAUAUAUUAGCAUGGAAUAACGGAAUAG